rnacentral:lncRNA from 10 species
UAAGAGAUUGACUAAACAAGGACUGAUAAUUCACCUUUGGACACACACAAAAGUAGAACUCACUGGUGGUGUUAAAAUGAGCUGUUUCAUUGACUGGUGGGGAUAAAACCUGACUGAGAAGAGUUCAAGUAAGAAUGAGAAGAGGGUAAGUAGAAACAGAAGGUCUGGCCAGCUCUUUAGAGAAGUUUUUCUAUAAAAGGAAGCAAAGAAGUGGGAUGGAAGCUAGAUGAAGAUGUGGUGGAGUCACUAGAGAUUUAUUUUUCUUUUUGCCUAACAGAGGUGGAACAGCUGAUGGCCCCACAUCUUCAGCUGAAGCUCC